rnacentral:rRNA from 1 species
UUGGAGGGCAAGUCUGGUGCCAGCAGCCGCGGUAAUUCCAGCUCCAAUAGCGUAUAUUAAAGUUGUUGCAGUUAAAAAGCUCGUAGUUGAAUUUCGGGAUCAGUUCGUUGGUCGUGCCUUAGGUACGUACUGGUGUUACUGGUUUCUACCUUCUGACGAACCAUCAUGUCAUUAAUUUGGUGUGGUGGGGAAUCAGGACUGUUACUUUGAAAAAAUUAGAGUGUUUAAAGCAGGCUCGCGCUUGAAUACAUUAGCAUGGAAUAAUGAAAUAGGACGUUGAUCCUAUUUUGUUGGUUUCUAGGACUGACGUAAUGAUUAAUAGGGAUAGUUGGGGGCAUUAGUAUUCAAUUGUCAGAGGUGAAAUUCUUGGAUUUAUUGAAGACUAACUACUGCGAAAGCAUUUGCCAAGGAUGUUUUCAUUAAUCAAGAACGAAAGUUAGGGGAUCGAAGACGAUCAGAUACCGUCGUAGUCUUAACCAUAAACUAUGCCGACUAGGGAUCGGAUGAUGUUAUUUUUAAUGACUCAUUCGGCGCCUUACGGGAAAC